AACGUAGGAGGCAAGCGUUAUCCGAAUUUACUGGGCGUAAAGCGUGUGCAGGCGGUUCGGUAAGUUGGAUGUGAAAUCUCCCGGCUCAACUGGGAGAGGUCGUUCAAAACUGCCGGACUGGAGGAUGGUAGAGGGAGGUGGAAUUCCGGGUGUAGUGGUGAAAUGCGUAGAUAUCCGGAGGAACACCUGUGGCGAAAGCGGCCUCCUGGACCAUGCCUGACGCUGAAACACGAAAGCUAGGGGAGCGAAC
rnacentral:rRNA from 1 species